rnacentral:lncRNA from 10 species
GGUGGAAAUUCUAUUGUCCCUCUGCCAGGUGCAUACUAGGGAAGAGAAAGAAAAUCAACAGGAUGAUAAUGAAAUGAUGGUAGAAAUGAUCCAGCCUAUUGAACAUGCUGCUUGGCUUUCCCUUACAGUUGUUAUAGUAACUUAUUAUAAAACAAUAAGACACAAAUCUUUAAUUCACACCAAAAAAUAAACUCCCUGUAAUCUCAUAUGUGUGCCAUCACAUCUUUAGGAAGCUUUUUGUUAGUUGAGUUGAUAAGCAUCGACAUUGAAGUCUUAUCAGUCCAACAAGAGUGAAGAGAAUUCAAAUGUGAAGUUCAAUCCGGUCAAGAAUUUGUUAUUGGGCAGGAACCAAUAAAAAUGAGGCUCUGAGUUCAUUAUUCUAGUUUUUAGAAUGCUCUGUCAGAAUAAAUAGUAGAAAAUAUUUUAUUUUCAAAACAUAAUGUUUUAUACAUAUUAGUGUAAAGCACUAUGACUCAGAUAUUCUAGUUACCAUAUCUAAACAUUAUGGCAAAAAUUGCUAUAAGAACACAUGGAGAUAGUACAAGCUUCUAUGAAUUAUGAUGAGCAAAUGGCAUUGAUUCAUGUCUCUGUGAAUUAAAAGCUUAGGAAAUGUCUAUAGACCUUCCCCUUUGAUGUAUUGUCUGCUAAUCUUUAUAAACAAUUUCCUGGAUAUUCUCAUGAUAAAUUUAGAUGUUUUAAUACAAUGUUUCUUAAAUGAUUUUGAUUACAAUUCACAGUGAAAACUACAUUGGAACCCAAGGUACACAUACAUAUGUAUAUAUAACUGGAAAUGUGUCUUACAACAAUACCUUUGCUGUGUACCAUGUAUUCUGGUAUUUUUUAUUUUAUUCUUUCCUAUUUCAUUAGUUAAAACAAAUUCUGGUCAUUAUCCAGUAAGCUGACUUCAUGUCCCUUUCACGGAUUGUGCCCAUAAGCUUAAAAACUCUCUUAGAGGGUGUUCUCGGCAUAUAUUGCUUUGCAACAAACAACUGCUACUUUGUGGCUUAAAACAAAAACAGUUUUUAUUACAUUUCAACAUUUUAUUGGUCAGGAAUUUGGGCAGUGUUUGGCUGGGUGAUUCUUAUGUUCCAUAUGGCAUUAAUGGGUUCACUUGGCAGCAUGUGGCUGAAGAAUGACUGGUUUUAAGGGCCCCAGAUGGCUUCACUCAUAUGUUGUUGGAGAUGGCUAGAAAACUUGGCUCAAGUGGGACUGCCAAUAGAAGGGCCUGCAUGUGCCCACUCUGGCUUAGAGAACUCUAAGUAGUUGAAUUACAUGAUGGCCCAAGAAUCCACCAAACAAGAUGGAAGCUCUAUGACCUUUUAUGACCUAGCCU